GAUGAACGCUGGCGGCGUGCCUAAUACAUGCAAGUCGAGCGAACAGACGAGGAGCUUGCUCCUUCGACGUUAGCGGCGGACGGGUGAGUAACACGUAGGUAACCUACCUAUAAGACUGGGAUAACUUCGGGAAACCGGAGCUAAUACCGGAUAAUAUUUCGAACCGCAUGGUUCGAUAGUGAAAGAUGGCUUUGCUAUCACUUAUAGAUGGACCUGCGCCGUAUUAGCUAGUUGGUAAGGUAACGGCUUACCAAGGCAACGAUACGUAGCCGACCUGAGAGGGUGAUCGGCCACACUGGAACUGAGACACGGUCCAGACUCCUACGGGAGACAGCAGUAGGGAAUCUUCCGCAAUGGGCGAAAGCCUGACGGAGCAACGCCGCGUGAGUGAUGAAGGUCUUCGGAUCGUAAAACUCUGUUAUUAGGGAAGAACAAACGUGUAAGUAACUGUGCACGUCUUGACGGUACCUAAUCAGAAAGCCACGGCUAACUACGUG
rnacentral:rRNA from 1 species